AUUUAAGGGAGUUUUCAGCCUCCUCCUCCACAUUUCAGAUCAGAAAAGAUCCAGAAAAUUCCAUUAGAGAGAGAGAGAGAAAACUUCAAGGCUAAGAAGGUCAUUUUGAUCAAAAUCCGAGCUCCGAAUCCCGAAGCUCAUGAAGAGAAAAACGUUGUACGUUGCGUUGCCUUCAAUUUGAGAUAAAUAUUGGUCUUGGGGGAUGAAAUUUUCGUGGUGGAUCUUCUGAUAAGAUUUUGGACGAAAUUGGGAUUGACGCCAAGCGAGCGUAAGGCGCUAUCGAGGUACAGACGCACCAGGUGAUACGCCGCCAGCGUAGGGUUCUGAUUCAGCUGUUUUGAAAAGCUCCUUUGAUCCGGAGCAUACACUUUUGGUAUAUAUCUUCUGUUUUCCGUAUGUUCUGCAUGUAUGGAAAUUCUGGGUACGACGGGGCCCUGUCCCGUCAUAUGAUUCUGUAUGUCUGUAGAGGCCUGUAGAUAGAUGUGUGGGUUACGGGUUUCGUCUGUAUGUUAGCCUUAUCGGCUUAUCUGUAAAUGUCUGCAUGU